CGAUGGGUAAACCCGGUCUCCCCGAGGCUGCUGUUGAGGCAGACGCCCCUCGGCCGAGCCGGCAAGGGGGGCAUGUGGUCCAAAGCCACACCCUCCUCAUCUCUCUGGAGAGCAGGACUGUCCCUGACAUGGGAAAUGACCCUGAUUAGCUGCUUGUGGGUGGAAGGGGAACCCAGGCCACACCCCAAGCGAGAUAAGGAAACUGCUGUGCCUUGGAGACGAGAGAGAGAGCUGGCCUCUCUCGCUUUUGCUUUUUCUUGUUUGAUUUUGAAGGAGAGGGGCACGUGGGGAAAGAGCAGAGAGGGACGUGGGGAGUGGGGCGCUGACCCUCCACGGGGUCUUAGUGGCGGGGCCCCCACGUCAGCCUGUCCCCAGCAUCCAUGUCCGAGAGUGCGUAGCGCUGAGCUGUGUGCUCCAGACACCCCCGGCGUGCAAGUGGACCUCAGUUCCCUUGUUCAAGGCCCCCUGCCCUGCACGGUGGCAGGCAGUGCUUAGGGGGCGUCUCAUGAACCUGCACGGGCGUGUGCCCCUUCCAGCCAUCAGUGAGCUCUGCUGUGCACACGGGGGCCUUGGCCUGGGGGGAGGUGUGUGGGGUGUGUAUCUAUGUGUGUGUGUGUGUGUGUGUGUGUGUGUACGUGUAGAGUCGGGCAGAAGGCAGGUUCCACGUCUGCACGUGUGCGGCACGGGCCAGGACGGGGCACUUCUGGGGAGGUACCCAGAAAUGAGGCUUGGACGCAGAGGCCACCAUAGGAUGUUGGUUUUGUUUUUAGAAUUUCUGUUCUGAAAGUAAUUAUAGAUUCACAGGAGGUUGCCAAACUCGAGUGUGCAGGAGGGGGUUCCGUGUUCCCCCGCCCAUGCCCACAUCUGACAUGUGUGCAUCGCAACAUCAAAGCCAGGAGGCAGACGUGGGUGCUGUCCACCGUUUAUUUAGUCUUUCGCAGUUUUUUGUGUGCUCCUUUGCGUGUGUGCCUGUCUAGGUCUAUCGCACGUGUAGAUUUGUGUAGCCACCACUACAACAACAGUUCCAGCACCCCCGGGAUCCCUCCAGCCACCCCUUUAUAGCCACGCACUGGCCCCCCGCCCCCCAGCAUCCCUGUGACCCUAAGAAUGUUAGCUCCUUGGGAAUGGGCAGAAGUCUUGGGAAGGACGUUGUGUUUUCCCACGAGGCGCAUGUGGGAGGCCCAUGCGUACCUUCUCCAGACGUUAAGGGCGUGUGUGUUCGUGUACCAGACCCUGGAACUGUGCUGGUGGUUCAGAGCCACACUGGCGCUAACCCCAAGCGGCUCAAAGUCCGGAGUCCUCUCAUUCACAGAGCCGCCCUGGAAUCCUGCUCAGCUCCUGGGACAGCGACUGCUUGGCUGAAGCAUCAAUUAUGGAUACAUGAUAUGUUUUAAAAUCUCGGACAAAGGCAGCAAAGCCAUCCAUCUGCCUUUCGGGACCAGGCUCCCCAGUUGGUGACAGCGAAGCUGCGAGGCUUCCUCUGUUUACCUCUUGCCACGAUGGCCACGUGGACUUGUCUGAGGUCGCAGGGCUGAGAGUCCGGGCACAGCCAGAACUCCCGACCAGCAGGGCCGUAGCCACAAUGUAUAGAAGUACCCAGGCUAGGAGCU